GUAGGGAAUAUUGGACAAUGGGCGAAAGCCUGAUCCAGCAAUGCCGCGUGUGUGAAGAAGGCCUGCGGGUUGUAAAGCACUUUUGUCGGGGAAGAAAAGCGUCGUGCUAAUAUCAUGGCGUCUUGACGUAACCCGAAGAAUAAGCACCGGCUAACUCUGUGCCAGCAGCCGCGGUAAUACAGAGGGUGCGAGCGUUAAUCGGAAUUACUGGGCGUAAAGCGUGUGUAGGUGGUUACUUAAGUCGGGUGUGAAAUCCCUGGGCUCAACCUAGGAAUUGCAUUCGAUACUGGGUGGCUAGAGUACGGUAGAGGGUGGCGGAAUUCCCGGUGUAGCGGUGAAAUGCGUAGAUAUCGGGAAGAACACCAGUGGCGAAGGCGGCCACCUGGACUGAUACUGACACUGAGACACGAAAGCGUGGGGAGCAAACAGGAUUAGAAACCCUUGUAGUCC
rnacentral:rRNA from 1 species